GGAGUCAUGUGGGCGGUAGCCAGACACUGUGUCUUUGUUUGGUCAUUUAGUGACAUAAGCCUUGAAAAAUCCUCCCUCAGAUCAUUCUGUUGGGAACAGUUUCCAAGCCAUUAAAAUGUUAUUCUUCCAAGUCUUCCCCUGUUGGUAACAGGGGAAGGGAGACAAAAUGCAGCGUCAUUUAGGCUUUGCCUAAAAUGAAUGGACACUCUUCAGCAACACACGAUGUGAAACUGAUCACGAGUUUCCUGAAAUCAGAGUCCUGACUUGCCUGACGAUGUGUGUGACGGAUACAAGUAGAGGAAUAUCUCAUCAGUACGAUGUUCAUGGAUUUGAAACUGGAGCAAAUGAUUCUAUGAGCAGUCCGAGGAUCUAUUCCCUUCCUUGGGAGUAGGGGGUAUGGACUAAAGAUCUGAAUGCGGACUUCCUGCUCCCUUCCUCCUCCCCAAAAGCUGCUAACUGGACAAGGACCCCCUCCAGGGAUCAUGUCCUCUGGAGUUACCAGAGCAACACAUGAAGGCAAAGACAUGUCUACCUUACAGAGACCAAGAAGACGGCAAGAAAGUCAUGCCACCUCAAGGCCAGCUCAAAGGAUUUGAACUGUGGUGGGAAUGGGGUAGUUCCACUCCCACUGCAUAAUUCCUGUCCAUUCCAACUCCAUCUGCCUUGAUCACAGCCCCCAUUCCACAAGCAGUGAGUGAUACAUGGAACAAGAGAAAAAGAAGCCUGCAAAUGAUUCUGAUGCUCUCAGUUUGGAGAUGCUGAAAAACAAUGAUCACCUUUAGUGACUGUGAGGAUUAAUUUUACGUGUCAAAUUGACUGGGCCAGGGGUGCCCAGCUAUUUGGUUAAACAUCGUUCUGGGUAUGUCUGUGAGGGUGUUUCUGGAUGAGAUUAACAUUUAAUUGGUAGACUGAGUAAAACAAAUUCCUCCCUACGGGUGUGGGUGGGCUGCAUCCAAUCCACUCAAGGCCUGAAUAAAAUAAAAGGCUAGACAAGAGAGAAUUCUCUCUCUCUGCCUCCCUGUCUUUGAGCUGGAGCAUUGAUCUUCUCCUGCCUUUGGACUCAAACUCAGAAUGGAACUUACACUAUCAGUUCUCCUGCUUCUCGGGCUUUUGGACUUAGACUGGAGCUAUACCAUUGGCUUGACUGGGUCCGGACUUCUGAGCCUCCAUAAUCACAUGAGUCAAUUCUUUAAAAUAAAUACCUACGUACAUGCACAUGUGCGCACGUGUGUGCAUACACAAACACACGCAAACACCC
rnacentral:lncRNA from 1 species